rnacentral:rRNA from 1 species
AACGAACGCUGGCGGCAGGCCUAACACAUGCAAGUCGAACGCCCCGCAAGGGGAGUGGCGCACGGGUGAGUAACGCGUGGGAACCUGCCCUUCGGUUCGGGGACAACCCAGGGAAACUUGGGCUAAUACCGGAUGAGCUCCGCGAGGAGGAAAGAUUUCUCGCCGGAGGAGGGGCCCGCGUCGGAUUAGGUAGUUGGUGAGGUAACGGCUCACCAAGCCUUCGAUCCGUAGCCGGUCUGAGAGGAUGAUCGGCCACACUGGGACUGAGACACGGCCCAGACUCCUACGGGAGGCAGCAGUAAGGAAUAUUGCGCAAUGGACGAAAGUCUGACGCAGCGACGCCGCGUGGGGGAUGAAGGUCUUC